rnacentral:rRNA from 1 species
UGGGGAAUAUUGCACAAUGGAGGGAACUCUGAUGCAGCGACGCCGCGUGAGUGAUGAAGGAAUUCGUUUCGUAAAACUCUGUUCUAUGGGAAGAAAAGGACUGUACCAUAGGAGAAAGCUCCGGCUAAAUACGUGCCAACAGCCGCGGUAAUACGUAUGGAGCGAGCGUUGUCCGGAAUUAUUGGGCGUAAAGGGUGCGCAGGCGGCUUUACAAGUUGGAUGUGAAAUAUUGUGGCUCAACCACAAACGUGCAUCCAAAACUGCAAAGCUUGAGUUAAGGAGAGGUAAGUGGAAUUCCUGGUGUAGCGGUGGAAUGCGUAGAUAUCAGGAGGAAUACCGGUGGCGAAGGCGACUUACUGGACUUAAACUGACGCUCAGGCACGAAAGCGUGGGGAGCAAACAGG